rnacentral:rRNA from 1 species
UGCAAGUCGGACGGGAUCUAGAUCUAAGCUUGCUUAGAUUUAGUGAGAGUGGCGCACGGGUGCGUAACGCGUGAGCAACCUACCCAUAUCAGGGGGAUAGCCCGGAGAAAUCCGGAUUAACACCGCAUGACACAACGACUCGGCAUCGAGAUGUUGUUAAAUAUUUAUAGGAUAUGGAUGGGCUCGCGUGACAUUAGCUAGUUGGUAAGGUAACGGCUUACCAAGGCUACGAUGUCUAGGGGCUCUGAGAGGAGAAUCCCCCACACUGGUACUGAGACACGGACCAGACUCCUACGGGAGGCAGCAGUAAGGAAUAUUGGUCAAUGGAGGGAACUCUGAACCAGCCAUGCCGCGUGCAGGAUGACUGCCCUAUGGGUUGUAAACUGCUUUUGUCCAGGAAUAACNACCACUACGUGUAGUGGCUUGAAUGUACUGGAAGAAUAAGGAUCGGCUAACUCCGUGCCAGCAGCCGCGGUAAUACGGAGGAUCCGAGCGUUAUCCGGAUUUAUUGGGUUUAAAGGGUGCGUAGGCGGCUUAUUAAGUCAGGGGUGAAAGACGGCAGCUCAACUGUCGCAGUGCCUUUGAUACUGAUGAGCUUGAAUGUGGUUGAAGAUGGCGGAAUGAGACAAGUAGCGGUGAAAUGCAUAGAUAUGUCUCAGAACUCCGAUUGCGAAGGCAGCUGUCUAAGUCAUUAUUGACGCUGAUGCACGAAAGCGUGGGGAUCGAACAGGAUUAGAUACCCUGGUAGUCCACGCCCUAAACGAUGAUAACUCGAUGUUGGCGAUACACAGUCAGCGUCUUAGCGAAAGCGUUAAGUUAUCCACCUGGGGAGUACGCCCGCAAGGGUGAAACUCAAAGGAAUUGACGGGGGCCCGCACAAGCGGAGGAGCAUGUGGUUAAUUCAAUGAUACGCGAGGAACCUUACCGGGGCUUGAA